rnacentral:pre_miRNA from 15 species
CCCUUAUAUAAUUUUGAUUGUUGCUCAGAAAGCCCGUAAUUUAACUUAACAUGGCUUUCGAGUAAUAAUCGAAACCAAAUAAGGC